rnacentral:rRNA from 1 species
GCCAAACAUCUAGCCUAUUAACCCCGCCAUCUUCACACCACCUUUCCCCCCCCCCCCAAAAACAUUUUUUGAUUUAAGUAGCGGCGAUUAAAAAAAUAAUUAGAGCUUCAACCCCAGUACCGCAAGGGAAACAUGAAAUAUAAGUGAAAUAAGCUUAAGCAUAAAAUAGUAGAGAUCUUAACUUGUACCUUUUGCAUCAUGGUCUAGCAAGUCCAAAUCAAGCAUAGCGAGCCUCUAGUUUGACCCCCCGAAACUAGGCGAGCUACUUCAAAACCGCCUUAAGGGCCAACCCGUCUCUGUCGCAAGAGAGUGGGAAGAUUUUCAAGUAGCAGUGACAAGCCAACCGAGCCUGGAGAUAGCUGGUUAUUCAAGAAAAGAAUUUUAGUUCUACCUUAAGCCCCACCAUGACCACAAACAACCCACCAAGCUUAAGAGCUAUUCAAACAAGGCACAGCUUGUUUGAAAAAGGCUACAACCUAAGCCUCAGGGUAAGUCCACCCACCAUGAUCAAGUUGGCCUAAAGGCAGCCACCUUUUAAAAAGCGUUACAGCUUCAUUUUUCCCCCCCCCUUAAUCUCACCACCUGCCACGAACCCUACACCAGUAUUGAAUGAUUCCAUAACCUAUGGAAGCCCCCAUGCUAGAACUAGUAACAAGAAUCUGAAAUUCUCCAAAACGCAAGCAUAAGCCAAAAUGGACCACCCAUUGGCACUUAACGACACUGAGCCCCCUAUAGCAACACAACUAGAAAACCCUAUUAUAAAAUUCGUUAACCUAACACAAGAGCAUUACCGGAAAGAUUAAAAGGGAGAGAAGGAACUCGGCAAAUUUCAACCCCGCCUGUUUACCAAAAACAUCGCCUCUUGCAAAACAUAAGAGGUCCAGCCUGCCCAGUGACUUGUUUAACGGCCGCGUGAUUUUAAGCGCGCGAAGGUAGCAUAAUCACUUGUUCUCUAAAUAAGGACUAGUAUCAACGGCAUCACGAGGGUUGUACUGUCUCCUCCCCCCAAUCAGUGAAACUAAUCUCCCUGUGAAAAAGCAGGAAUAGCACUAUAAGACGAGAAGACCCCAUGGAGCUUAAAACUAUCGACAACUUUUCCCACAUAAGCCACAAAACAUUAAGCCCUGUCCACCAGUUUUAGGUUGGGGUGACCGCGGAGUAUAACAAAACCUCCACAACAAAAGGCACAAGCCUUAUCUAAGAGCAACAGCUCCAAGAAUCAGCACCCUGAUGUCUAGCGACCCGACAAUCGAUCAAUGAACCAAGUUACCCUGGGGAUAACAGCGCAAUCCACUCCGAGAGCCCUUAUCGACAAGUGGGUUUACGACCUCGAUGUUGGAUCAGG